GAUCAUUACAACAGUCAAGUGAAAUGUUUACCUCUGCAAGCAGCAACAAGCUUUCAGCACAAGCUUGCAUGGGCUGUGAAUAUGCACAGACUACAAGUAAACAAAAGCUGAAGCGGCCUUCAAGUGUUAAGUGUGGAAAAAGAUGUUUUGCGGCAAUGGCCGUGACUGAAGACAACACAAGUGUGUAUGUGGUUUUCCAAUCCAAGCACAGAGGCCACGACUUUGAACUGGGUGGUGUUUUUCUGUCCAAGUCGGAAAGAGCUGCUAUUGCUGGCUUGCAGUUACCUGGAUUGAUAUGGCUUAUGAUCCUAGUGGGAUUCAAUGUCUCAAAACAGCAGUAAGCUGGAAUCAUUUCCACUUGGGUUUACUUAAGGUGCAUUGUACAUAAUUAUGUCUGCCAUUUUGCCUAAACUGAAGUGCAAGUAUUACAGACAUCGAUGAAACUGCGACCUCUCGCCACUACUGUAGGUCUUCCACAGCAGAUGUGCUUUCCAUGUGAAACUUUCAUCAGCUCAAGUUGUAUUUUACUCUACUAUAUGCAGGGCUCACAAACCAUGUGCCAUAUUUUCUGGACUAUAAUUUGAACUGUUGUACAAGUCACCCCCUUUCCCCCCUCUUUUCACAACUUUCAAAGAAAAAAAUGUGUAUAUAACUCAUUGUAUAAGAUGCAUCUAUUUUAACUUGGGUCAGCAUCGUGAAAUGCGAUUGUGCAUGUUUAUACACUUAUCCUCAAAUGUCAUACUUACCCAUUUCAGGGCACUAAACUUCAGUAAAAAAUUUUUUUAUGAGCUGCACAUUCCAGCAGACAAAAUAAACUGCAAGUACAUUGCUGGAGAAAAAGAAUGUCUCAUGUUGGUCUUGCAUAUAUAAGUUGCACGGUUGUACAAGAUGCUUGGACGAAAAUUAGGGUGGCACCUAUGGUUUGGAAAAUAUGGUACCUAAAUAUUUUAAAUGCUCAUGAAUCAGCUACAUGAAUGAAACAUGAUUGGAAUGAUAACGAUAAUUAGGCUUAGACAUGAACCCGUAAAACAGCUUCAAGUGUUCAGUCAGUACUCUACUUGACUGAAAUAAUACCUUUAACUCAAAAACCCACAUGACUGCAUAGCCUUCAAAGCAUACGUUCACAGGUGUGUCUGCUCCUUGUAAAUAUGGAUGAAUGACUGAUAAAUCAACUAUAUAAAUAAUUGCUGAAAGCAUUAAUUCAUUAUAUAUAUAUAUAUAUUGACAUUAAUAAAAUUAUGUGCAGCAAUGCAAUCAGUAACAGUGAUGUUUAUGUUUAAGUUAAUCUGGAAAUGCUACACGUUUUCGAUUGCCGACCCUGUUUUGCCCUUCUAUGGUGGCAGGCCACUAUGGAAGUGGAAAUAACUUAUGCUAUGGAAUGUAAUUGGAAAAUGAAGUUUUAACUGAAGAAUAGAAAUUGUAAAUAAUGGCAAUAUUUAGCAAAGGAAAUAAAAGUUGGAAGACAUUAUUGCCCUGGGUAGGAUCUGAACCACAAUCUUCACAUGUCCAGUCCAGUGCAAUGCUUUCACAAUGGUUCAGUAAUAUCUUUUGUUCGAACAAGGUUACCAACAGUGAAGGAUGAAAUUGGCAGCCUAGCUGUAAACUUGGUACACACAAUAAAUUUCUUCGCUUACGUACCUGAUAACACUGGUGCAGAUGAUCCCUAUGACCGUUUAUCAAUGACACCAAACAUUGAAGCACUUAAAUAUGUAAUCUUGCCGCUUCAGCAGCUGAAGGCUGCACAGCACCAUGUCCUUGCAAAGAGUUUACGUAAAAAGAACAAAAAUCCAAGAACUACACACCAUUGCAAAAGCUUUUUGUAAGUGAAUGUAACUCAUUAUUCAAUUAAAGGAAUUCUAAAUAAUGAUAUUAAAAAUGUUCAUCAGUGCCCAUUUCACUUCCUUGCGUGCUCGGUAAUAUUUACUUAUGCUUCAACUAAUAUACACUUUCUCUACUCUCUCAAGACAAGCUGCGAGAAGGCGUGUCCAUGGAUGCAGUACUGGAUAAUGUGCGGUCCAACAUGGAUGAGACGUUCCACUGCAUUAACCUGUUAAGCAAGCAGGAUCCACCAAGGACAACCUUACAAAAGUGAAAUUUUUCAGAGAAAAAAUGAGGACCUUUUGGAUGAGAGAUUUUAUGCUAGUCAUUAUGACCACACCACAACUGAUUGUGUAUGUGUCGAUGGAACACAUGGAACAGCAGGUGAGCAUUACUAUAUAAAUGCAUUAAUAAUAAAAGCAAAAAAAGAGGGAAUGCUGUUUGAGAAUAAUUGCAAUAGAUAUGAUGAGUAGUAUUCCUUCACACUUAGGAUUUUUCUCUUAAUUUUUCUCGCAUUUUUUAUUUCAUGCAGUUCUCAGUUAUCAGUAAACAUAGCAAGAAUGAAUUCAGCGCUCUGUACACUGGUGAUAUCAUUCCAUUGCUACUGUCCUCAUCGCUGCAUGCCCUGCAUAUCCUGUCUGUAUUGUCACCUUGCAGUUAUAAUAGGUAACAUAAUAAAGCUGUUAUCACAGUUGUCCAGAGUGCAGAAACAGUGCAUUGCACUGUGUAUUAGUGCCUUCUAUCAGAGGUACAGCUGUCUCGAGGCUGUUUGGCAUCCUGAACUGUUUGCCAAUUGGGCAAACCACUGAUUACUGCUACAGUCAAAGGUGCUUUUUCUUGGGGGUGGUUCCCUGAGGACUGCGAAAACAAAACAUUUAAAAAAUCAGGCAGUCCAAAAAAACAAUUUAUGCAUGCCUUUUACUGCCAUUUAAAGGGACGUGCUAGUCGAAAACAUAAGAAUCUAGAACUAUGAAACCCCAGCUGUUUACAUACUUUUUUAUGGUAAUUUCAAAUACUAUAUAAAUCAGUUUUAUAGCAAGUUGCAUAGGUUUUGUUCUGUACAACGACAAUGUGUAAAACGUAGGCAUUCUUGCCCCCAAUUUUUUAUCUCUACACUUCCAUAAUUGCAGACAAGUGAUGGCGCAUAAUCCUCCAAAUCAACUGUAGAAUACUGAAAUAUGUUACCGAAAUCGUUAUGCACUGUUAUGUUUUAAAAAGUGCAUAUAAGAAGUGUUAAAUUAGUACCUAUGAAACCAUUUCAAAAUGUUUAGACAACCAGUAAGUGUUACUCGAGAUUUUAUCUUAAGUAUAUAAGUGAUGUUGAAGAUCAACCCCUCAGUGGUGGUCAAGACAGUUUAGGAUUUCAAGCAGAAAGUUGUCAUUCUGGAGCAGUCUAGGAGCAGAAAAUUUUUUUUCUACUUCGUGUUCGAAAAGUCUUUUUGGAACACUUGGAGUAGUACAGAAGUAAUCUGUAGCCAUUUGGUGGAGCUU